rnacentral:rRNA from 1 species
UGCCGCGUGAGUGAAGAAGGCCUUCGGGUUGUAAAGCUCUUUUUGUCAGGGACGAUAAUGACGGUACCUGAAGAAUAAGCCCCGGCAAACUUCGUGC